UGGAAUGGAAGAGCCAGCCCAGACAAAGUUAAGUUUGCUGCUCGGGUCUGAGAGCAAAAUACAAUUUUUCAGAACGUAUUCUGGGUUUGCUUUCUUGGGCAGCUGCAGUCCGCAGAGUUUCUCAGCUUGAGUUUUUGUUUUCUUCCUCCCCUUCCCCCUGCAGCAACUCUGCUCUGUGAUGACCUUCCUCCCAGCCAAGGAGUGUGUGGCUGCCCAUCUUGCUCUUCCUCCCCCUCUUUGAAACUCAGUAUUCCCUGCCAGUGGAGGGGCAGAUACUAGGUUUUCCCAUCAGGUUUCUGGUGUUUGCUAAUCCUGGGGGUUAACGAUUGAGCACAAAUACCAAAUUUAACUGUUACCCUGUCAGCUCCCUCACCCAACUUAUAUCUUUAUCAUGUUGGCCAUUAUUAACUUAGUUUUAGAGCCUGGAUGUUGCUGCAGUGCAGAAUGACAGAACAGUUCCUGGCUGGAGCCACACUUAGCAAUGCUCUCAUGCAUAAAGACCCACGGUGUGUAACCUACCCUGCACUACUGCUAGGUCCAAAAUAGUCAAGGUUUCCUCAAAUCUCAAUAGUUAGCAGAUGGUGGUUGCUCCUGAUAAAUGGUGCCAGGCAGCAUUUGGAUGGGGGAAGGUUUCUGCUGCGGAGAGCCGUGAGGAUGUCACCAGGGCUGGCAGAGCCCUGGAGCCUGCUGAAAUUCAGUGGUAGGAGUGCAAAAUUUCUCUUUCAAUCACAGGAAUUGAGGUUUUGUUGGCUUGACUUAGUCUGUUUCAUCCUCUCGCUGAAGAUAACCCCCAACAAAAAAAAUUAUGUUUGAUAUGAAAUCUCUUUUUCCUGGCCAAGCAAAACACUUCGAUUCCCUCCUGCCCCUGGCACCUUACCAGCCGCUUCAGAAAGCUCAGUGAUGUUGUGGGGCUUCACGGCGGAGAUCGAAGUGGCCCAGCUUGGCUGGUAACCCACAUGGCAGGGGGUAAUUGACUGUACCUCGGGCCGCAUGGGCCAGGGAUGGAAAGGAGAAUCCCACCUUCUUGCUAAGGCCCUCAGCCAGGCCGUAGGACACCUGCUUUUCCUUCAGCAAAGAGUUUGUUGCUUGAGCAAGCUGCUGCACUCCCGGCUUCAGCAGGGUAAGCGCCUGGCCAGUCCGAAUUGCCUCCUGCAUUAGUGCUGUAAGCACCAGGUCGCUGGCUAAAACCUGCGCUGCUGCAGGAGGAGGAGGUGGUUUAAGUCACCUGCCUCCAGAAUGACUCUUCUCCUCCAGCUGUGCUCUAGCAGGGUUGGUAAGUCAUGCCCUUCGCAGGCAAAAUCUUCCUAACAGGGACUGCUCCUCGGGCCAUUGGGUGCUGAAGAAGUAGAAUAAGUGUUAAUGGCUUCCUUGAAGUGCUGGAGGGUUAGACAAGGCUGGGUGCGCUCUGGACCUUUACCAGAGGUGGGAAAAUAAUUUCAAAGCCUUAGUUCGAGUAAGUUCAGAUACCCCAAACCAGUUUAGGGAGAUAAUGCUUUCCUUUUGGCAAACUUGCUACUGGGCAAAACUGUUCUGCCUGUUUCUGAAUUCUAUUGCCUAGACGUUGAUACUCCUUUGCUUUACAAAACAAGCACCAGUUGGGCGUUACGAAGGAUGGCUGCUUUUGAGCUGCUGAUUCUUUCAAGGCCGUGCUCAGAUCUAGGCUGCGGAUGCACGGCGUGGUCUAAACACCCUCCCUGGGUUCUAGUUGCAACCUGCAAGAUUUAUCGGAGCGCCCGCUGAUGUCUGAGGUGAUGCAGCCCUUUCCCAGUGCGACCAUCCCCGACUCCGCACGCCGAGCAGACGGAAGGCGUCCCUUUGAAGGGACACCUCGUCUGAAGGGACACUUCUGAGGGAGACUGGCACGGAAACCCUGCCCUGUGAGCCUUGCUUUCUCUCCGCUGACCUGAAGUGCAGCUGCCUGCUCGUACAUCUCUGAGAGGUUCUCUCUGCCAUUACGGCCUCGGCGCAGGGCUGCGCGGUGGUCCUCUCUCACGCAGGAACAAAAGUUUCAUGCUGGGUUAAUGGUUGUUUCUGACCCUUCUGUGAUACUCUCACAGAAAAAGUCCAGGCAGGGGAUUGCACAGGUGGGCAAAAUUGCCAAGGAAUUACAGACAUCUUGACAUUUGAAAAGUGACAUUUUGACCUUUUUCACAAACGGGCGGGUUUUUUGUGGGUUAUGUGGCCCUUACGUUUAGAAAAUUGAUGCUAGCAUAAAGUGUAUUAUAAUAAUUAUUUGUGAAAUAAUAAUAGCAUUUUAAUGGUAUGCAAAUUACUGAUUGAGGAAUCCAGCAUGCCCAUAACGAUUCCUGUACUUUUAAUGUCAACAUUAAAAGCAAUAUCUAACUAACAGUGAUAAGGUAAAUUAGUGUUAAUAACAGUUUUGACACUAAUAGCAAGUUAUCAUUAUUUUAAAAGUCUUUCCUGUUGCCAAGGCUCAAACUGAUUUUAAAAAAGCCAUACCGCUUCUCGGCUUGCUGUCACUGACGCUUUGCCUACAACACUGUGAGGAGAUUUCACUCUUCUUGUUCCUAGCAAAGGUCUCUGUGAUUGCAGCAGAGUUCCUACUCUGUGGUCCAACACUAACUUAGGAAGCAGGAGGCCACCCCCAGUUCCUAAAAGACCUUUGCAGAGCAGCUUUUCCUUAAUCGAAUUUGGUAAAAUGUUUAUCAGCAAAGGGUUUUUAAAAAUGCCAUCGGUGUGCAGUGUUGAGUGGGUAGAGCGAGGGAACGGGAUCAAGGCUUUUAAAUUUUUUUCCUCUCUUGGCACAGCCAAGCUCAUCUCACCUCCUGGGGGUUUCACAUGCUCUGUUAGCAUUAGUUUUAUUUAUUCAGCACCUAUGGCCACAGGACCAUCCCAGAUGGGAAACACUCGCCCAGCUCUAUGGAGAAUAACUUAGAGGAAGCUUCGUGUGGAUGUGGUCAGUGCAGGUAAACCUGGGCUUUUCAUCGCAAGAGUUACCCUCUUCCCCUCUCCAAGGAAAAUGAUACUGUCGAUGAACAAAUUGCUAAAUAAACUAUUUGUUGAUUGUGGCUGGGACGGGUGUUACUCGGAGAGCUUUGCAUGGGACAGGCGCAGCUAUAAAGGGAUUAUAAAGAUGCAGUCUCUGUUCUGAAGCCUUCACAGCCUAAUUUUAGGCUUUUCUCAACUGCGUGGUAAUCAACACGGCAAGUCAUGGCUGAGAAAAUAUGAGAACUCCAGUAAGAGGUAGGUACCAUGUGCUUUGGUGGCCCUGAGUUGUGACGUGGCUGUGAUGUGGGCUACUUAAUUCACCCGGGGUCUGUGACUCUUCCCGAGGGUUUGUUUAUAAACAAAACCUCUGCUGAGAUCAAGAGAAGGUACCUUUUGUGCCAGGCAGUUGUUCAGGUAUGAACUGGUAAAUGUAACCUGAGAGAACAUUACGUGUGUGUUGGCUCCUUAAAAAUAUUCCGGUAGUGUCUGCUUCAUGCUAGUCCUAAACUGUUUUUUCUGGCUUGCUGCCUCUGUUGACGUUUUGCCUCAAACUGUAAUCCACGAGCAGUUAAAGCUUUGCACAAACCUCUCACAAAGGGUCUGCUUUCAAGCGAGGAGGGAGCUGCCUGACUGUCUGUGUGCCACGGUCUGAAAACAUUCCUCUGAAGCAUCCUGCUCUUCUGCGGGAUUAUUUCUCUAGCUCUCACUCUGCUCCCUUCAGUUCACCCUGCGCUGCUUGCUGCUCUCCUCUGUGCUUGCUCACGUUUCGAACCAAGCAAAAGCCUCACUGGGAGCUUGCGACGAGAGUAGCACGUCCAAGCUGAUGCCUGUACUGGAGGGUCUGGCUGGUGCCUGGGCUUUCACCAGAACUCAGCUGCGCAGGGAGCUUUUGGAAAAGGACUGACUCCCAACAGGGAAGGUCUAAGAAGGUCUGUUCAAACAGAUGAAAAUCCUACGUUCAAAUUAAGCUUUGCUACUGCUUUCAAUGUAGCAAAGGGAAGUUGUACCAGAAAACAAAGCCUCUCAAGGUUUGGCAAGCUAUCAGAACUCAAAGAUAGGGGCUGGGACUCUUUUGGGGCUCUGAAGUGUCACCAACUCACCACUCGCUCAGUGCAUGACUUUGGUUUGAGCAGGUAUGGCCCUGGGGUUUCUCCCCAGAAGGAUGCUGUUGCAGACUCUCAACUGCCUUUCCAAGGCACCAGGGGACCUUUGGUAAAUGGGCUCUGUGGAGCUGGCAUGUACUGAGGAGAGCUUUGAAAGUGCUUCUGUUUCACCUGAGCUUUCCCUGCAGUCAGUCAGCUCUUUGGCGGUGUAUCCUCGUUGGAGGUUGCGCCGGGCGUACACGUCGUAGUCCCGGACAAUCCUUGUGAUGAUAUCCGAUGUGGAGAUACCUUCGGUUCUCUGCGUUGGUACGAACAUUCCUGAGCAAAGUGGGAAAAGAAAGCCCUCUGAGAAAGCACGGCAGGACCAGGCGCUGCGGCAGGUAGCUGAGGAUGAACACAAAAAUGCCUGACCAACGGACACGUGCGCACUGACCCGCGCCCAGCAACGGCAGAGAAGGAUGUGCCAGGUUUGGGCACUCUCCAGCUCAGUCUGCUAACGAUGCAGCGACGCCAAGGGCUGCUGUCAUGUUGUCCUGUGCGCUCCCCACCUUACAGAAGAAAAGCAAAAUAGCUGCCUGUCCAGCACAUAUGCUGGAUGUCCCUCGGUGACCCGUCCUUACCAGAGCUGUGGUCAAAAGGCAGGAAAAGAAUUUGAGCUGAGGCUGAAAAGGUGCUAAAAAGGUAAAGCUGCCCUUACCUGCCUCCUUUAUGUGUUUGUAUACAUCAUCCGAGCCAGCGGAGGAGUACGGGAUGUCAUCGUGGGCUACAAAGUCAAUCUGCCAGUGAACAGAAGAAGAAUCACAUGCCACCAUCACUGAAUUUUGGUUCAGUGGGGGGUCGUUGUGGAGGAUCAUCUCUUUUCUCGACUUCAGCUGAAUUGCUUUUGACAUUCUCAUCCUAAAGCCAUCACCUAGAAUAUUGCACUAGAUUUAGGCCUACAACUGCUAUGUUGCAAGAUCGAUUACGAAAGAACAGAAAGCUUGUCUCCAGAAGCACUGCCAUUAACACAUCACUCUGGCUGGCUCUGUGUGAUAUUCUGCAGAAAACGUAAGACUCCCAUUCCUGCUUUUAUUGCUACUGGAAGAGCUAAGUCAAGUGGCAAAGCCUUGGCUUUCAAAACCGUGGAGGCAAGAUUACUGAUUCUGCCUCCUUGGGACUGUGCAUAUAUAUACAUGCAUACCUAGUACUGUCAAGCUCUCCUUUCGUCACCCAGUGAUGUGGACACUAAAAUACAUCCCAGUUAAUUAUGCUUUUGUUAAGAUUCAUAUAGAUUGCAAGUCAAUAGCAUGUAAGAAAUUCUGUCCUGCCUUUUAGAGGACGCAUGACAUUUUUAUGUAUUUCUGGCCAAUUAUUGCACCUGUUGAUGUUAAUAAGAAACAUGCCUUUAAUUCAGGACUUUAGUCACUAUGUGAUAACUUUCCUGGUUCAUGAUCUCCUUUCCUGAAAGUUAAUUUGUGAAGAAUUCUUCAGUGUUAUUUUGCAAUUCAAAAAUCCCACUACAGAAAUCAUCCCAGCAUAUUGAGAAAAAAAGGCAAGACAAAUACAACAUUUUCUGACAAAGAUGGAGGCAAGCAAUGCCACGUACCUAAUUUCAGUGACUGGAAUUAACUGAAUUAAAUAAUUUGCUCCAGCUAAUAGAAUUUCACAGACUUGCUGUUUAUUCUCAACUGUUAGUCUACAAAGGGGAAGGGAGG